AUCCUUCUGUACUUCGUAAGUAUGAUGACUGAAUGUUCAUGCUCUCUUGUGAGAUGCGCCUCCCUUCAGCUUUGUUAUGACAUUGGCACAUUACCUCUCUGACG